rnacentral:rRNA from 1 species
GACGAACGCUGGCGGCGUGCCUAAUACAUGCAAGUGGGACGCAAGGGAACACACUGUGCUUGCACACCGUGUUUUCUUGAGUCGCGAACGGGUGAGUAACGCGUAGGUAACCUGCCUAUUAGCGGGGGAUAACUAUUGGAAACGAUAGCUAAUACCGCAUAAUAUUAAUUAUUGCAUGAUAAUUGAUUGAAAGAUGCAAGCGCAUCACUAGUAGAUGGACCUGCGUUGUAUUAGCUAGUUGGUAAGGUAAGAGCUUACCAAGGCGACGAUACAUAGCCGACCUGAGAGGGUGAUCGGCCACACUGGGACUGAGACACGGCCCAGACUCCUACGGGAGGCAGCAGUAGGGAAUCUUCGGCAAUGGACGAAAGUCUGACCGAGCAAC